AUUGAACGCUGGCGGCAUGCCUUACACAUGCAAGUCGAACGGCAGCGGGGGAGAAGCUUGCUUUUCCUGCCGGCGAGUGGCGAACGGGUGAGUAAUACAUCGAAACGUGCCCUGUAGUGGGGGAUAACUAGUCGAAAGAUUAGCUAAUACCGCAUACGACCUGAGGGUGAAAGUGGGGGACCGCAAGGCCUCAUGCUAUAGGAGCGGCCGAUGUCUGAUUAGCUAGUUGGUGGGGUAAAGGCCUACCAAGGCGACGAUCAGUAGCUGGUCUGGGAGGACGAUCAGCCACACUGGGACUGAGACACGGCCCAGACUCCUACGGGAGGCAGCAGUGGGGAAUUUUGGACAAUGGGCGAAAGCCUGAUCCAGCAAUGCCGCGUGUGUGAAGAAGGCCUUCGGGUUGUAAAGCACUUUUGUCCGGAAAGAAAUGGCUCUGGUUAACACCUGGGGUCGAUGACGGUACCGGAAGAAUAAGGACAGGCUAACUACGUGCCAGCCGCCGCGGUAA
rnacentral:rRNA from 1 species